rnacentral:misc_RNA from 1 species
UAUAGGCUAAAUCACUGAUUUACAUACCUAAGUAAGUAAUUUAUUAAUAAAUCAUGUAUUUUAAUUGGGCCCCCCUAAGCCAAAAUGCUGGCUCCGUCACUGCUUAUAUAGCAGCCGAAAUCAGUUUCCAAAUUCUGAUCAAUCUUGGGCUCCAUUAAUUAUAUAAAAAUAACAUGAAAGCAAGUAAUUUCUUUGCAAACACUUCCCUGAUGGUCAUAACUUACAAUGCUCGGAAAUCCACUCCUGCAGGCCUAGGUAGUUGCAAGAAGCUACGAGAAUGCAAGUCAGUUGCAAAAACAGUUAACAAGAACAUCGUAUUAGUUAAAAAUGUCAAAAAUAAAAGGGACAAGAAAAAACUAGAGACCCAAAUUAAAAGGGUUUUAAUCAACAGAUGGAACAUAGUUGUAUAUGCAAAAUAAUGAUGACAUAAUAUAGAACCAAAAAGAUCAUUCAAAUUUAACUGCAAUUCUAAUGGUAGAUUACUCAAACAACAAAACAUAUUGCUGCCAACAUGAAUCUUACCACUACAUAUUGUAAUAGGCCAUCCAAAUGUUGAGGUUUUACAUACACUGCCCCUGUUAUAUAAGAAGCCUGAUAGAUAUGCUUCGCAUGAAAUCAGGAAAGCAAAUUCUCUUGAGUUUGCAAAGAACACUCAUAUAUAUUCUAUAACAAUAGCCUACCUGCUGUAAGAAGGCUGAAUAAUGAGCACUGACAUAACAAGUGUCUAUAGGCACCUGCAGGAGGUGCAAAUCAACAAAAUAUAUGUCACAAUCUUGAAAAGAACAUGAUCCAAAUAUCAGCAGCAAUUGAAAAAAUUCACAGAAGCCUAUUGCAAACUUAACCAAAUGUACACAAUGGGGGAAAAAACGCAAGGUAAUGUGUUCCAUAUGAUUUUAUUCCUUUGAAAUGAAAUAUUACAAAUACCAGCCCACUUUGGCAAUCUGCUUUAGGUAAUAUUCCUACAAAUUAUAAUUUCAUAGAUAUGUGCUAUGUACACGGUAACAUGAUUCAAAACAACACAAAGAUAAUAAGUAACAACUUUCAUUUUUCUUAAAUGGUGAAAACGUUAGCCUUUCUCACACAUUAAAAUACUUAAAUGAACAUAACAGUCUGUCAUCAUGAUUAUAAUCAAGAUAUAUGAAACUAGGAAAUCAAAUUAUUCAAACUUGCAGAAAAGGAAAAGAAAUUUAAGUUAAUAAGCCUAUAAGUUGUUCAAAAGCAUCUUGUCCAGUUCAUUCUAUCAGUUGCCUAGUCAAAUAAGGAUUUGUGCUAUUUACAAUUUACAGAUAAAAUGCUGGAAAAUGAUUUCCUUAUGACAUUUUGGUAAUUAAAUUCAGUGGAAUACAACUAAGAUUCUAAUAUUUAGCUCCUUCAUACCACUUACCACAUAGUGAUUGCCAAAUGGCUUGACACAAAAUAAAACUAUUGAGUAAGCAACAAUAAGCUUUCAAUCAAAUUGCCGCAUACAGAAUAGGAUAAUAAAAAUACAGCCCAAAAGGGAAAAACCCAAUGCACUGUCUCACCAUAGAGCGAUGAGCAGAGAAUAUUGCAUUCAUUUAUCUGGAAAGUCACAACCCCCACCAAAGAAAGAAAGGUCAAGGAUUGAGGGAAAAAAAUAUAUAAAGCCAAAUUCUCGUAAGACAUACUGUUCAGGUCCAUCCAGAGAUCCCUGCAAACACAAAAUUCGAGGUUGAGGAUUUAGCGGCCCUGUGCAAAAAAGCCGUUGCAUAUCUUUCUCCAAUUCAAAUCAAACCAUCAAUAAUAAAAUAAGUUAGUGAGGAAUCGGCAGUUAUCAGCACAUGCAACGCCAGAGCAGGCACUUUUGCGAACUCCCGGUUGCCUAUCUUUCCCCUAAAUACGUACAAUUUUGUUAUAAUGGCCCCUUUUUUCACACACUUACUCGCAUACAACGCAAUAAAGCCUCCAAAUGACACUUAUUACCGUGAGUAAACUUUAGAACAAUGAAUAAAAAAAUAAUACCCAUGAAGGAUACAACAAAGCGCCAUGGACAAUGAAUGACCCCGAAGAAGCGAUCUUCCCUUGAGGCUUCUCCUUUCCCAACUUCUCAUCUCUGAUUAUGAACUCCUCCAAUUUCUGCAACAAAUUGAAGUAAAGCAGGCAAUCUCCCGUCCUCAGAGCUCUGGUUCGUGGCCAAAGACGAAUCAUAAUAUAGUUGCAGGAAUUAUACCCAGCAGCAACCACUACCUCUUGAUUCAGUUGAUUGAGUAGCAAAAGGGAAUUCCAAAAAGCAAGCACCUGCGAGAGAAAUUGGAAAAAUGGGAGAGAAGAAGUGGUCCAGAAGAAUGGAUUGGUGUCUAACAACACCAUCACAAGGCUAACAUCAUC